rnacentral:rRNA from 1 species
CCGGCAGCUUACUGAGGAGAGAUCAUUACCGAGUUGAUUCGGGCUCCGGCCCGAUCCUCCCACCCUUUGUGUACCUACCUCUGUUGCUUUGGCGGGCCGCGGUCCCCCGCGGCCGCCCCCCCUCCCCGGGGGGUGGCUAGUGCCCGCCAGAGGACCAUCAAACUCCAGUCAGUGAACGUCGCAGUCUGAAAAAACAUUCAAUAAACUAAAACUUUCAACAACGGAUCUCUUGGUUCUGGCAUCGAUGAAGAACGCAGCGAAAUGCGAUAAGUAAUGUGAAUUGCAGAAUUCAGUGAAUCAUCGAAUCUUUGAACGCACAUUGCGCCCCUUGGUAUUCCGAGGGGCAUGCCUGUUCGAGCGUCAUUACAACCCUCAAGCUCUGCUUGGUAUUGGGCACCGCCCUUCUUCGGGCGCGCCUCAAAGACCUCGGCGGUGGCUGUCUUGCCUCAAGCGUAGUAGAAUACACCUCGCUUCGGAGCGCAGGGCGUCGCCCGCCGGACGAACCUUCUGAACUUUUCUCAAGGUUGACCUCGGAUCAGGUAGGGAUACCCGCUGAACUUAAGCAUAUCAAAAGUCGAGAGGAA